AAAGUUUGAGCCAAAAAUUCGUUCAAAAACUCAAGUUAUGACUCCAACCAUUACUAAAAACAAAACCGCUCACUUACUGCCUUUGAUUUGAAAGUGCCACCCUCAACUCCUUAUAACUUUUUUACAUGAACUUCAAAAAUAAUAAUUUUUCUAUAAAAGAUGUAGGCCUUAAAAUUACCGUUUCAUUUGCACCUUCUGAUCUUCAAAAGCUAAUGUACAACUCCUUGUAUCUUCAAAAGAGUAACAAUAUGUCUUAAAUUAAUACCUUAACUUCAAACGGCUGUAACUUCUUCAUCCUAACUCCAAAUCUUCUAAUUUUUAUACAAAAAUUGUACUUCAAAUCAUAAUCUUUACAACCUUAGCUUUUAAUCUCCAAAUCCCUC
rnacentral:lncRNA from 1 species